rnacentral:rRNA from 1 species
GAUGAACGCUGGCGGCGUGCCUAAUACAUGCAAGUCGAGCGAACGGACGAGCUGCUUGCUUCUCUGAUGUUAGCGGCGGACGGGUGAGUAACACGUGGCUAACCUACCUCUUAGACUGGGCUAACUUCGGGAAACCGGAGCUCAUACCGGAUAAAAUCUUGAACCGCAUGGUUCCAAAGUGAAAGCGGGUCUUGCUGUUACUUAUACAUGGAUCCGCGCUGCAUUAGCUAGUUGGUAAGGUAAAGGCUUACCAAGGCAACGAUGCAUAGCCGACCGCAGAGGGGGGUCGGCCAGAUGAGAGCUGGAACAGGGUGAUUGGUCCUACGGGAGGCAGCAGUAGGGUACCGUCCGCAGUGGUCGAAAGCCUUGCGGAGCAACGGCGCGUGAGUUAUGAAGGUCUUCGGAGCGUAAAACUCUGUUAUUAGUGAAGAACAGAUUUGUAAGUAACUGUGCACAUCGUGACGGUACCUAAACAGAAAGCCACGGCUAACUACGUG